GUAGGUGGCAAGCGUUGUCCGGAAUUAUUGGGCGUAAAGCGCGCGCAGGCGGUUCUUUAAGUCUGAUGUGAAAGCCCACGGCUCAACCGUGGAGGGUCAUUGGAAACUGGAGAACUUGAGUACAGAAAAGGAAAGCGGAAUUCCACGUGUAGCGGUGAAAUGCGUAGAGAUGUGGAGGAACACCAGUGGCGAAGGCGGCUUCCUGGUCUGUAACUGACGCUGAGGCGCGAAAGCGUGGGGAGCAAACAGGGAUUAGAUACCCUGGUAGUCCACGCCGUAAACGAUGAGUGCUAAGUGUUAGGGGGUUUCCGCCCCCUUAGUGCUGCAGCUAACGCAUUAAGCACUCCGCCUGGGGAGUACGGCCGCAAGGCUG
rnacentral:rRNA from 1 species